GAUGAACGCUGGCGGCGUGCCUAAUACAUGCAAGUCGAGCGAACGGACGAGAAGCUUGCUUCUCUGAUGUUAGCGGCGGACGUGUGAGUAACACGUGGAUAACCUACCUAUAAGACUGGGAUAGCUUCGGGAAACCGUAUCUAAUACCGUAUAAUAUUUUGAACCGCAUGGUUCAAAAGUGAAAGACGGUCUUGCCGUCACUUUGAGAUGAGUCCGCGCUGCAUUAGCUAGUUGGUAAGGUAACGCUUUACCAAGGCAACGAUGCAUAGCCGACCUGAGAGGGUGAUCGGCCAGACAAGAACUGAGACCCGGUCCAGACUCCCACGGGAGGCCGCCGUCGGGAAUCUUCCGCCAUGGGCGAAAGCCUGACCGAGCACCGCCGCGUGAGUGAUGAAGGCCUUCGGAUAGUAAAACGCUGUUAUUAGGGAAGAACAUAUGUGUAAGUAACUGUGCACAUCCUGACGGUACCUAAUCAGAACGCAACGGCUAACUACGUG
rnacentral:rRNA from 1 species